AUGGGGGGGACCUGACCGAGCACGCCGCGUGAGUGAAGAAGGUUUUCGGAUCGUAAAGCUCUGUUGUAAGAGAAGAACGGGUGUGAGAGUGGAAAGUUCACACUGUGACGGUAUCUUACCAGAAAGGGACGGCUAACUACGUGCCAGCAGCCGCGGUAAUACGUAGGUCCCGAGCGUUGUCCGGAUUUAUUGGGCGUAAAGCGAGCGCAGGCGGUUAGAUAAGUCUGAAGUUAAAGGCUGUGGCUUAACCAUAGUAUGCUUUGGAAACUGUUUAACUUGAGUGCAGAAGGGGAGAGUGGAAUUCCAUGUGUAGCGGUGAAAUGCGUAGAUAUAUGGAGGAACACCGGUGGCGAAAGCGGCUCUCUGGUCUGUAACUGACGCUGAGGCUCGAAAGCGUGGGGAGCAAACAGGAUUAGAUACCCUGGUAGUCCACGCCGUAAACGAUGAGUGCUAGGUGUUAGGCCCUUUCCGGGGCUUAGUGCCGCAGCUAACGCAUUAAGCACUCCGCCUGGGGAGUACGACCGCAAGGUUGAAACUCAAAGGAAUUGACGGGGGCCCGCACAAGCGGUGGAGCAUGUGGCUUAAUUCGAAGCAACGCGAAGAACCUUACCAGGUCUUGACAUCCCUCUGACCGCUCUAGAGAUAGAGUUUUCCUUCGGGACAGAGGUGACAGGUGGUGCAUGGUUGUCGUCAGCUCGUGUCGUGAGAUGUUGGGUUAAGUCCCGCAACGAGCGCAACCCCUAUUGUUAGUUGCCAUCAUUCAGUUGGGCACUCUAGCGAGACUGCCGGUAAUAAACCGGAGGAAGGUGGGGAUGACGUCAAAUCAUCAUGCCCCUUAUGACCUGGGCUACACACGUGCUACAAUGGCUGGUACAACGAGUCGCAAGCCGGUGACGGCAAGCUAAUCUCUGAAAGCCAGUCUCAGUUCGGAUUGUAGGCUGCAACUCGCCUACAUGAAGUCGGAAUCGCUAGUAAUCGCGGAUCAGCACGCCGCGGUGAUACGUUCCCGGGCCUUGUACACACCGCCC
rnacentral:rRNA from 1 species